UACGUAGGGUGCAAGCGUUAAUCGGAAUUACUGGGCGUAAAGGGUGCGUAGGCGGCUUUGUAAGUCAGUGGUGAAAUAUGGCAGCUCAACUGUCAAGGUGCCAUUGAUACUGCGGAGCUUGAGUACAGAUGAGGUAGGCGGAAUUGACGGUGUAGCGGUGAAAUGCUUAGAUAUCGUCAAGAACACCUAUAGCGAAGGCAGCUUACUAGGCUGUAACUGACGCUGAGGCACGAAAGUGUGGGGAUCAAACAGG
rnacentral:rRNA from 1 species